CCUACGGGUCGCAGCAGUGAGGAAUAUUGGUCCAUGGGCGGGAGCCUGAACCAGCCAAGUCGCGUGAAGGAAGAAGGUACUUAGUAUUGUAAACUUCUUUUGUCGGGGCACAACGGCGGAGACGCGUCUCCGGAUGAGUGUACCCGACGAAAAAGCAUCGGCUAACUCCGUGCCAGCAGCCGCGGUAAUACGGAGGAUGCGAGCGUUAUCCGGAUUUAUUGGGUUUAAAGGGUGCGCAGGCGGGAGAUAAAGUCAGCGGUAAAAUGUCGGGGCUAAACCCCGGCCGGCCGUUUAUACUGGUUUUCUAGAGUAGUAGUGAAGUAUGCGGAAUUCGUGGUGUAGCGGUGAAAUGCAUAGAUAUCACGAAGAACUCCGAUUGCGAAGGCAGCAUACCGGCUCCAUACUGACGCUGAGGCACGAAAGCGUGGGGAUCGAACAGGAUUAGAUACCCUGGUAGUC
rnacentral:rRNA from 1 species